rnacentral:snRNA from 1 species
ACACUUAGCGGGCAGAGGAGAUACCAUGAUAAUGAAGGUGGUUUUCCCAUGGCGAGGCUUAUCCAUUGCAUUCUGGAUGUGCUGACCCCUAGGAUUCCCCAAGUAUGGGAAACUCAACUGCAUAAUUUGUGAUAGUGGUGGACUAUGUUCGCGCUUUCCCCUG